rnacentral:rRNA from 1 species
UACAGAGGUCUCAAGCGUUGUUCGGAUUCAUUGGGCGUAAAGGGUGCGUAGGCGGCGCGGUAAGUCGGGUGUGAAAUUUCGAGGCUUAACUUCGAAACUGCAUUCGAUACUGCCGUGCUUGAGGACUGGAGAGGAGACUGGAAUUUACGGUGUAGCGGUGAAAUGCGUAGAUAUCGUAAGGAAGACCAGUGGCGGAAGGCGGCCUUCUGGACGAUGACUGACGCUGGAGACGCGAAAGCGUGGGGAGCAAACAGG